rnacentral:rRNA from 1 species
UACGUAGGGUGCGAGCGUUGUCCGGAAUUACUGGGCGUAAAGAGCUCGUAGGCGGCUUGUCGCGUUGUCCGUGAAAAUUUACCGCUCAACGGUGAACUUGCGGGCGAUACGGGCAGGCUAGAGUACUGCAGGGGAGACUGGAAUUCCUGGUGUAGCGGUGAAAUGCGCAGAUAUCAGGAGGAACACCGGUGGCGAAGGCGGCUCACUGGGUCUUUUCUGACGCUGAGGGACGAAAGCUAGGGGAGCGAACGGG